GAUGAACGCUGGCGGCGUGCCUAAUACAUGCAAGUCGAGCGAAUGGAUUAAGAGCUUGCUCUUAUGAAGUUAGCGGCGGACGGGUGAGUAACACGUGGGUAACCUGCCCAUAAGACUGGGAUAACUCCGGGAAACCGGGGCUAAUACCGGAUAACAUUUUGAACCGCAUGGUUCGAAAUUGAAAGGCGGCUUCGGCUGUCACUUAUGGAUGGACCCGCGUCGCAUUAGCUAGGUGGUGAGGUAACGGCUCACCAAGGCAACGAUGCGUAGCCGACCUGAGAGGGUGGUCGGCCACAAUGGGACUGAGACACGGCCCAGACUCCUACGGGAGGCAGCAGUGAGGAAUGUUGCACAAUGGGCGCAAGCCUGAUGCAGCAACGCCGCGUGAGUGAUGAAGGCUUUCGGGUCGUAAAACUCUGUUGUUAGGGAAGAACAAGUGCUAGUUGAAUAAGCUGGCACCUUGACGGUACCUAACCAGAAAGCCACGGCUAACUACGUGCCAGCCGCCGCGGUAA
rnacentral:rRNA from 1 species